AGAGUUUGAUCCUGGCUCAGGAUGAACGCUAGCGAUAGGCCUAACACAUGCAAGUCGAGGGGCAGCAUAGGGUAGCAAUACUUUGAUGGCGACCGGCGCACGGGUGAGUAACGCGUAUGCAACCUACCUAUAACAGGGGAAUAACCCGGAGAAAUUCGGACUAAUACCGCAUAAAACAGGGGCUCCGCAUGGAGAUAUUUGUUAAAGAUUUAUCGGUUAUAGAUGGGCAUGCGUUCCAUUAGCCAGUUGGUGAGGUAACGGCUCACCAAAGCAACGAUGGAUAGGGGAACUGAGAGGUUUGUCCCCCACACUGGAACUGAGACACGGACCAGACUCCUACGGGAGGCAGCAGUGAGGAACAUUGGUCAAUGGGCGAGAGCCUGAACCAGCCAAAUCGCGUGAAGGAAGACUGCCUUAUGGGUUGUAAACUUCUUUUAUACAGGAAUAAAAAGAGUUACGUGUAACUUAUUGCAUGUACUGUAUGAAUAAGCAUCGGCUAACUCCGUGCCAGCAGCCGCGGUAAUACGGAGGAUGCGAGCGUUAUCCGGAUUUAUUGGGUUUAAAGGGUGCGCAGGCGGGAACUUAAGUCAGCGGUGAAAUCUCGACGCUUAACGUCGGAACUGCCGUUGAAACUGGGUUUCUUGAGUAUAGAUGAAGUAGGCGGAAUUCGUUGUGUAGCGGUGACAUGCUUAGAUAUAACGAGGAACUCCGAUUGCGUAGGCAGCUUACUAAGCUAUAACUGACGCUCAAGCACGAAAGCGUGGGGAUCAAACAGGAUUAGAUACCCUGGUAGUCCACGCCGUAAACGAUGAUUACUAGUUGUAUGCGAUAUACGGUAUGUGACUAAGCGAAAGCGAUAAGUAAUCCACCUGGGGAGUACGCCGGCAACGGUGAAACUCAAAUGAAUUGACGGAAGGG
rnacentral:rRNA from 1 species